AGUGAACGCUGGCGGUAGGCCUAACACAUGCAAGUCGAACGGCAGCACAGUAAGAGCUUGCUCUUACGGGUGGCGAGUGGCGGACGGGUGAGGAAUACAUCGGAAUCUACUUUUUCGUGGGGGAUAACGUAGGGAAACUUACGCUAAUACCGCAUACGACCUACGGGUGAAAGCAGGGGAUCUUCGGACCUUGCGCGAUUGAAUGAGCCGAUGUCGGAUUAGCUAGUUGGCGGGGUAAAGGCCCACCAAGGCGACGAUCCGUAGCUGGUCUGAGAGGAUGAUCAGCCACACUGGAACUGAGACAAGGUCCAGACUCCUACGGGAGGCAGCAGUGGGGAAUAUUGGACAAUGGGCGCAAGCCUGAUCCAGCCAUACCGCGUGGGUGAAGAAGGCAUUCGGGUUGUAAAGCCCUUUUGUUGGGAAAGAAAAGCAGCAGGUUAAUACCCCGCUGUUCUGACGGUACCCAAAGAAUAAGCACCGGCUAACUUCGUG
rnacentral:rRNA from 1 species